rnacentral:rRNA from 1 species
UACGGAGGAUGCAGGCGUUAUCCGGAAUGAUUGGGCGUAAAGCGUCCGCAGGUGGCAAUGUAAGUCUGCUGUCAAAGCGUCUGGCUCAACCAGAUAAAGGCAGUGGAAACUACAUAGCUAGAGUAAGGUAGGGGUAGAGGGAAUUCCUGGUGUAGCGGUGAAAUGCGUAGAGAUCAGGAAGAACACCGGUGGCGAAAGCGCUCUGCUGGACCUUAACUGACGCUGAGGAGCGAAAGCGUGGGGAGCGAACAGG